rnacentral:antisense_RNA from 1 species
GUGCCUUUUUCCAUAAUUUUUUCUUAUAACCAGCCCUUCUCAUCCAAAGGCCACAAUGAAGUCAAAGAAAACUAUAGAUGACAGCUUUCACAAUCUUUCUCUUGCCUUUUCGUGUACUGACGUAUGUUAGAGAUCUGACUGGCAGCUUCAAGGCACUUGGAAGCAAGAGGGCCACUCUAUUAAGGAUCGCUGAAGUAUGCCCACAUGUCAGGUUUCUCUCAGAUGUG